rnacentral:rRNA from 1 species
UACAGAGGUGGCAAGCGUUGUUCGGAAUUACUGGGCGUAAAGGGCGCGUAGGCGGUCUUGUAAGUCUCGUGUGAAAUCCCUCGGCUUAACUGAGGAACUGCACGGGAUACUGCAUGACUUGAGAUCGGGAGAGGGAAGCGGAAUUCCGGGGUGUAGCGGUGAAAUGCGUAGAUAUCCGGAGGAACACCGGUGGCGAAGGCGGCUUCCUGGACCGACACUGACGCUGAGGCGCGAAAGCUAGGGGAGCAAACGGG